rnacentral:rRNA from 1 species
GACGAACGCUGGCGGCGUGCUUAACACAUGCAAGUCGAGCGGUAAGGCCCUUUCGGGGGUACACGAGCGGCGAACGGGUGAGUAACACGUGGGUGACCUGCCCUCAGCUCUGGGAUAAGCCUGGGGAAACCGGGUCUAAUACCGGAUAUGACUCCAUGACGCAUGUUGUGGGGUGGAAAGCCUUGUGCGGCUGAGGAUGGGCCCGCGGCCUAUCAGCUUGUUGGUGGGGUGAUGGCCUACCAGGCGACGACGGGUAGCCGGCCUGAGAGGGCGACCGGCCACACUGGGACUGAGACACGGCCCAGGACUCCUACGGGAGGCAGCGAGUGGGGAAUCUUGCGCAAUGGGCGAAAGCCUGACGACGCAACGCCGCGUGGAGGACGAGAUCUUCGGGUCGUAAACUCCUGUCGAGUGGGAAGAAUGGAUCGGGGAUGAAUAAUCUCCGGUAUUGACGGUACCA